ACCUAUUGCGCAGAAAUUAAGUAUUAGUUUAUGGACCUUUUGCAAAACUACGAUAAUAAAGUUUUAUUUUGGUAAAUGUGCUUUCUGUAAGGCUGCUUUACAUGUAAAAUAUGGUUUCUAAAGGAAUGGGGAAAUAGCCGCAGUAUUUAAUAUUUAUUAUCAAGGGUACUUGGAAUAGGUAAGCUUAAAUAGUUUUGGCCAAAUUUGUGCCAGCGACCGCGGUUAGACAAAUAACACGAGAUAGCAUUCUUGGAUAGAGUUAAUCGGUAAAAAGGGACCAAAACAGCAGAUUUUUAGGUGAAAUUUUAAUAGUGGGCAAGGACAAAUUAUAACCCAAUGAAACUUAGAAGCCCAGGUAGUAAACUAGGAUUAGAGACCCUACUAUUCUGGAAGUUAAGGAAGGUCCGGAGUAGUAAAAGUUAGGGGCUUAAAACUCAAAAAAUUUGGCGGUGGUUUAGCUGAUCAGAGGAACUUGCCCUGUAAUCGAUAACCCCCGAGGAUUCUACUUAAACUUGCAGUCAGCUUGUAUACCGCCGUCAUCAGGAAAUUUUCAGAAAGUAUUUUCAGGAGGUCGUGAGAUCAUAUGUCAGGUCAAGGUGCAGCUAAUGUUUAAGCAGAGGUGAGUUACAAUAAAAUAAUUUAAUACGGAAGGUUAUGUGUAAUAAGACCGGAAGGUGGAUUUGGAAGUAAUACUGUUAACCAUAAGGGUAUAAUAGCAGCUCUAAACCGUGCACACAUCGCCCGUCGCUCUCAGGUAUAAUGAGAUAAGUCGUAACAUAGUAGGUGUACCGGAAGGUGUACCUAGAUUGA
rnacentral:rRNA from 1 species